UACGAAGGGGGCUAGCGUUGCUCGGAAUCACUGGGCGUAAAGGGCGCGUAGGCGGCGUUUUUAAGUCGGGGGUGAAAGCCUGUGGCUCAACCACAGAAUUGCCUUCGAUACUGGGACGCUUGAGUGUGGUAGAGGUUGGUGGAACUGCGAGUGUAGAGGUGAAAUUCGUAGAUAUUCGCAAGAACACCGGUGGCGAAGGCGGCCAACUGGACCAUCACUGACGCUGAGGCGCGAAAGCGUGGGGAGCAAACAGG
rnacentral:rRNA from 1 species